GACGAACGCUGGCGGCGUGCUUAAUACAUGCAAGUCGAACGGAAAGGCCCUGCCUUUGUGGGGUGCUUGAGUGGCGAACGGGUGAGUAACACGUGAGUAACCUGCCCUUGACUUUGGGAUAACUUUUGGAAACUGGGGCUAAUACCGGAUAGGAGCUCCUGUUGCAUGGUGGGGGCUGGAAAGUUUCGGCGGUUGGGGAUGGACUUGCGGCUUAUCAGCUUGUUGGUGGGGUAGUGGUUUACCAAGGCCUUGACGGGUAGCCGGCCUGAGAGGGUGACCGGCCACAUUGGGACUGAGAUACGGCCCAGACUGCUACGGGAGGCAGCAGUGGGGAAUAUUGCACAAUGGGCGGAGGCAUGAUGCAGCAACUCCGCGUGCGGGAUGACUGCCUUCGGGUUGUAAACCGCUUUCGCCUGUGACGAAGCGUGAGUGACGGUAAUGGGUAAAGAAGCACCGGCUAACUACGUG
rnacentral:rRNA from 1 species